rnacentral:rRNA from 1 species
AUUGAACGCUGGCGGCAGGCCUAACACAUGCAAGUCGUACGAGUGGCGGACGGGUGAGUAAUGUCUGGGGACUGCCCGAUAGAGGGGGAUAACUACCGGAAACGGUAGCUAAUACCGCAUACUAUCGGAUAACCCAUAUGGGAUUAGCUAGUAGGUGAGGUAAUGGCUCACCUAGGCGACGAUCCCUAGCUGGUCUGAGCGGAUGAUCAGCCACGCUGGGGCUGAGACACGGCCCAGACUCCGACGGAGGCAGCGGUGGGGAAUAUUGCACAAUGGGCACAAGCCUGAUGCAGCCAUGCCGCGUGUAUGAAGAAGGCCCUAGGGUUGUAAAGUACUUUCAGUCGGGAGGCGUUACCGACAGAAGAAGCACGGGCUAACUCCGUGCCAGCAGCCGCGGUAAUAC